rnacentral:piRNA from 1 species
AACCCUCAGUGCCUUCACUCU